UUUCCGUAGGUGAACCUGCGGAAGGAUCAUUAUCGAAUUUCGAGGGGAAGGAAGAUGAGGAGUGGAGACUGUCGCUAGCUUUCCCGCCUGGGAAGCAUGUGCACGCCUUGCUUUUCGUUGACCUUUUUCUUACUCUCACACCUGUGCACCCAUUGUAGGUCCUCGAAAGAGGAUCUAUGUUUUUAUCAUCACACGCAUCGUAUGUCCAUAGAAUGUAACAUGAUCGUCGAUCGACCUCGCGGUCGGGUGGCGGUCUAAAUAAAUAAAUACAACUUUCAGCAACGGAUCUCUUGGCUCUC
rnacentral:misc_RNA from 1 species